AUCAAUGGUUGAGAUGAUGCUUACGCUAGAACAUAACCUAUAAAGAAUAUUCUAUCUAUACCGCACAUCGAUAAAAUAACACCUGGAAACGCAUCACAAAGAAUAAACCAGUAACAAUGAGUAACCAGUAACAAAGAGUAACAAUGCAGCCAUGUUAGAAAUGGACACAUACUCAUUUGAGUGAACACAGAGUGCAUGGAACUCAGAGGCCAUAAUUUAG